CCGACCUUAGCUCAGUUGGUAGAGUGGAGGACUGUAGUUGGAGACGUUCCUGGCGGGAUAUCCUUAGGUCGCUGGUUCGAAUCCGGCAGGUCGGA
rnacentral:tRNA from 1 species